UAACUUUUAAAGGAUAAUAGUAAU
rnacentral:tRNA from 1 species